rnacentral:rRNA from 1 species
UACCAGCACCCCGAGUGGUCGGGACGAUUAUUGGGCCUAAAGCAUCCGUAGCCGGCCUUACAAGUCCUCCGUUAAAUCCAGCUGCUUAACAGAUGGGCUGCGGAGGAUACUAUAAGACUAGGAGGCAGGAGAGGCAAGCGGUACUCAGUGGGUAGGGGUAAAAUCCGUUGAUCCAUUGAAGACCACCAGUGGCGAAGGCGGCUUGCCAGAAUGCGCUCGACGGUGAGGAUGAAAGCUGGGGAGCAACCGG